AGAAAAUUAAGUUAAAAAACUAUAAAACUUCAAAUUUUAAAUUAAUUCUAUGAAUGGAUUAUUUUCUA
rnacentral:tRNA from 1 species